ACUUAAGCGACUCUUUCAAGUGCUGUAUUUGGAAUUACUCUCCCAAUUCCUUACAAAUGCUCACUAUUUUCAACAGAAAUUUUGCACAAUAAUUUUUGGGUACAUUUCAAGGAAAUGAGAUGGGAGAUUCAACCUAAAACUCUUUAUCUAUGAAAAAACUUAUACUAUUAGACAAAAAAAAUAAAAAAAUUAGCACAACAAUAUUGAUGAAUAUAAUCUCUAGUUUGUAGGUUAGUUGCAUUCAUCGGAAAAUUUUCAUAAUACCUUACAACUUCAGGCUGUAUAACCAAUUUUGAAAAAUGAUAAAAUGUGUAAAUAAUACUCGGUAUUAAAUAAUUGUGUUGAUUAUUUGUUCUAACUGUCCUGUUGAUUUACUAUUCUUUUUAAAUUUAAAAUAUAGUAUAAGGGAAAAUUUAUAAUGUACUAUUUCGUAGGAAUCAUAUAAAAUUGAAUAUAGACUAUAUACCAAAACAGUCUCUUGGGCAAAAAUUAAAACAAAAAAAAGAAAAUAGUAUCAA